rnacentral:misc_RNA from 1 species
GAUGAAGAACGCAGCGAAAUGCGAUAAGUAAUGUGAAUUGCAGAAUUCAGUGAAUCAUCGAAUCUUUGAACGCACAUUGCGCCCGCCAGUAUUCUGGCGGGCAUGCCUGUUCGAGCGUCAUUACAACCCUCAGGCCCCCGGGCCUGGCGUUGGGGAUCGGCGGAAGCCCCCUGCGGGCACAACGCCGUCCCCCAAAUACAGUGGCGGUCUCGCUGCAGCCUCCCCUGCGUAGUAGCAACACUCGCAUGCGGAGCGCGGCGCGGCCACGCCGUAAAACCCCCGACUUUCUGAACGUUGACCUCGGAUCAGGUAGGAAUACCCGCUGAACUUAAGCAUAUCAAUAAGCGGAGGA